rnacentral:rRNA from 1 species
UACAGAGGGUGCUAGCGUUGUUCGGAAUCAUUGGGCGUAAAGGGCGUGUAGGCGGUUUGCUAAGUCAUGUGUGAAAUCCCUCGGCUUAACCGGGGAACGACGCACGAAACUGGCAAGCUAGAGUACCAAAGAGGGGGGUGGAAUUCCCGGUGUAGCGGUGAAAUGCGUAGAUAUCAGGAGGAACACCGGUGGCGAAGGCGGAUCUCUGGGCCAUUACUGACGCUGAGGAGCGAAAGCGUGGGGAGCGAACAGG